rnacentral:rRNA from 5 species
AGACCCGAAACCCGGUGAUCUAGCCAUGGGCAGGUUGAAGGUUGGGUAACACUAACUGGAGGACCGAACCGACUAAUGUUGAAAAAUUAGCGGAUGACCUGUGGCUGGGGGUGAAAGGCCAAUCAAACCGGGAGAUAGCUGGUUCUCCCCGAAAGCUAUUUAGGUAGCGCCUCGUGAAUUCAUCUCCGGGGGUAGAGCACUGUUUCGGCUAGGGGGCCAUCCCGGCUUACCAACCCGAUGCAAACUGCGAAUACCGGAGAAUGUUAUCACGGGAGACACACGGCGGGUGCUAACGUCCGUCGUGAAGAGGGAAACAACCCAGACCGCCAGCUAAGGUCCCAAAGUCAUGGUUAAGUGGGAAACGAUGUGGGAAGGCCCAGACAGCCAGGAUGUUGGCUUAGAAGCAGCCAUCAUUUAAAGAAAGCGUAAUAGCUCACUGGUCGAGUCGGCCUGCGCGGAAGAUGUAACGGGGCUAAACCAUGCACCGAAGCUGCGGCAGCGAACGUAUCACCCAAGACAACUUUACGGAGUUGACGAUUGACGGAGCGAAGCGACGUCAAAGCGUUCAUUAAAGUCGAGUUGGCUUAGGGAUACGUUCGUUGGGUAGGGGAGCGUUCUGUAAGCCUGUGAAGGUGUGUCGUGAGGCAUGCUGGAGGUAUCAGAAGUGCGAAUGCUGACAUAAGUAACGAUAAAGCGGGUGAAAAGCCCGCUCGCCGGAAGACCAAGGGUUCCUGUCCAACGUUAAUCGGGGCAGGGUGAGUCGACCCCUAAGGCGAGGCCGAAAGGCGUAGUCGAUGGGAAACGGGUUAAUAUUCCCGUACUUGGUGUUACUGCGAAGGGGGGACGGAGAAGGCUAUGUUGGCCGGGCGACGGUUGUCCCGGUUUAAGCGUGUAGGUGUGUGUUCCAGGUAAAUCCGGUUCACUUUAACACUGAGGCGUGACGACGAGGCACUACGGUGCUGAAGCAACAAAUGCCCUGCUUCCAGGAAAAGCCUCUAAGCAUCAGGUAACACGAAAUCGUACCCCAAACCGACACAGGUGGUCAGGUAGAGAAUACCAAGGCGCUUGAGAGAACUCGGGUGAAGGAACUAGGCAAAAUGGUGCCGUAACUUCGGGAGAAGGCACGCUGACACGUAGGUGAAGUGAUUUACUCAUGGAGCUGAAGUCAGUCGAAGAUACCAGCUGGCUGCAACUGUUUAUUAAAAACACAGCACUGUGCAAACACGAAAGUGGACGUAUACGGUGUGACGCCUGCCCGGUGCCGGAAGGUUAAUUGAUGGGGUCAGCGUAAGCGAAGCUCCUGAUCGAAGCCCCGGUAAACGGCGGCCGUAACUAUAACGGUCCUAAGGUAGCGAAAUUCCUUGUCGGGUAAGUUCCGACCUGCACGAAUGGCGUAAUGAUGGCCAGGCUGUCUCCACCCGAGACUCAGUGAAAUUGAACUCGCUGUGAAGAUGCAGUGUACCCGCGGCAAGACGGAAAGACCCCGUGAACCUUUACUAUAGCUUGACACUGAACAUUGAGCCUUGAUGUGUAGGAUAGGUGGGAGGCUUUGAAGUGUGGACGCCAGUCUGCAUGGAGCCGACCUUGAAAUACCACCCUUUAAUGUUUGAUGUUCUAACGUGGACCCGUAAUCCGGGUUGCGGACAGUGUCUGGUGGGUAGUUUGACUGGGGCGGUCUCCUCCUAAAGAGUAACGGAGGAGCACGAAGGUUGGCUAAUCCUGGUCGGACAUCAGGAGGUUAGUGCAAUGGCAUAAGCCAGCUUGACUGCGAGCGUGACGGCGCGAGCAGGUGCGAAAGCAGGUCAUAGUGAUCCGGUGGUUCUGAAUGGAAGGGCCAUCGCUCAACGGAUAAAAGGUACUCCGGGGAUAACAGGCUGAUACCGCCCAAGAGUUCAUAUCGACGGCGGUGUUUGGCACCUCGAUGUCGGCUCAUCACAUCCUGGGGCUGAAGUAGGUCCCAAGGGUAUGGCUGUUCGCCAUUUAAAGUGGUACGCGAGCUGGGUUUAGAACGUCGUGAGACAGUUCGGUCCCUAUCUGCCGUGGGCGCUGGAGAACUGAGGGGGGCUGCUCCUAGUACGAGAGGACCGGAGUGGACGCAUCACUGGUGUUCGGGUUGUCAUGCCAAUGGCACUGCCCGGUAGCUAAAUGCGGAAGAGAUAAGUGCUGAAAGCAUCUAAGCACGAAACUUGCCCCGA